rnacentral:rRNA from 1 species
AAAUUGAAGAGUUUGAUCAUGGCUCAGAUUGAACGCUGGCGGCAGGCCUAACACAUGCAAGUCGAACGGUAACAGGAAACAGCUUGCUGUUUCGCUGACGAGUGGCGGACGGGUGAGUAAUGUCUGGGAAACUGCCUGAUGGAGGGGGAUAACUACUGGAAACGGUAGCUAAUACCGCAUAACGUCGCAAGACCAAAGAGGGGGACCUUCGGGCCUCUUGCCAUCGGAUGUGCCCAGAUGGGAUUAGCUUGUUGGUGGGGUAACGGCUCACCAAGGCGACGAUCCCUAGCUGGUCUGAGAGGAUGACCAGCCACACUGGAACUGAGACACGGUCCAGACUCCUACGGGAGGCAGCAGUGGGGAAUAUUGCACAAUGGGCGCAAGCCUGAUGCAGCCAUGCCGCGUGUAUGAAGAAGGCCUUCGGGUUGUAAAGUACUUUCAGCGGGGAGGAAGGGAGUAAAGUUAAUACCNGAUGGAGGGGGAUAACUACUGGAAACGGUAGCUAAUACCGCAUAACGUCGCAAGACCAAAGAGGGGGACCUUCGGGCCUCUUGCCAUCGGAUGUGCCCAGAUGGGAUUAGCUAGUAGGUGGGGUAAAGGCUCACCUAGGCGACGAUCCCUAGCUGGUCUGAGAGGAUGACCAGCCACACUGGAACUGAGACACGGUCCAGACUCCUACGGGAGGCAGCAGUGGGGAAUAUUGCACAAUGGGCGCAAGCCUGAUGCAGCCAUGCCGCGUGUAUGAAGAAGGCCUUCGGGUUGUAAAGUACUUUCAGCGGGGAGGAAGGGAGUAAAGUUAAUACCUUUGCUCAUUGACGUUACCCGCAGAAGAAGCACCGGCUAACUCCGUGCCAGCAGCCGCGGUAAUACGGAGGGUGCAAGCGUUAAUCGGAAUUACUGGGCGUAAAGCGCACGCAGGCGGUUUGUUAAGUCAGAUGUGAAAUCCCCGGGCUCAACCUGGGAACUGCAUCUGAUACUGGCAAGCUUGAGUCUCGUAGAGGGGGGUAGAAUUCCAGGUGUAGCGGUGAAAUGCGUAGAGAUCUGGAGGAAUACCGGUGGCGAAGGCGGCCCCCUGGACGAAGACUGACGCUCAGGUGCGAAAGCGUGGGGAGCAAACAGGAUUAGAUACCCUGGUAGUCCACGCCGUAAACGAUGUCGACUUGGAGGUUGUGCCCUUGAGGCGUGGCUUCCGGAGCUAACGCGUUAAGUCGACCGCCUGGGGAGUACGGCCGCAAGGUUAAAACUCAAAUGAAUUGACGGGGGCCCGCACAAGCGGUGGAGCAUGUGGUUUAAUUCGAUGCAACGCGAAGAACCUUACCUGGUCUUGACAUCCACGGAAGUUUUCAGAGAUGAGAAUGUGCCUUCGGGAACCGUGAGACAGGUGCUGCAUGGCUGUCGUCAGCUCGUGUUGUGAAAUGUUGGGUUAAGUCCCGCAACGAGCGCAACCCUUAUCCUUUGUUGCCAGCGGUCCGGCCGGGAACUCAAAGGAGACUGCCAGUGACGCGAGAGCAAGCGGACCUCAUAAAGUGCGUCGUAGUCCGGAUUGGAGUCUGCAACUCGACUCCAUGAAGUCGGAAUCGCUAGUAAUCGUGGAUCAGAAUGCCACGGUGAAUACGUUCCCGGGCCUUGUACACACCGCCCGUCACACCAUGGGAGUGGGUUGCAAAAGAAGUAGGUAGCUUAACCUUCGGGAGGGCGCUUACCACUUUGUGAUUCAUGACUGGGGUGAAGUCGUAACAAGGUAACCGUAGGGGAACCUGCGGUUGGAUCACCUCCUUA